AUUGAACGCUGGCGGCAUGCCUUACACAUGCAAGUCGAACGGCAGCACGGGGGCAACCCUGGUGGCGAGUGGCGAACGGGUGAGUAAUGCAUCGGAACGUGCCCAGUAGUGGGGGAUAACCAGUCGAAAGACUGGCUAAUACCGCAUACGACCCAAGGGUGAAGGCGGGGGACCGUAAGGGCUCGCGCUAUUGGAGCGGCCGAUGUCUGAUUAGCUAGUUGGCGGGGUAAGAGCCCACAAAGGCGACGAUCAGUAGCUGGUCUGAGAGGACGACCAGCCACACUGGGACUGAGACACGGCCCAGACUCCUACGGGAGGCAGCAGUGGGGAAUUUUGGACAAUGGGCGCAAGCCUGAUCCAGCCAUGCCGCGUGCGGGAAGAAGGCCUUCGGGUUGUAAACCGCUUUUGGCAGGAACGAAACGGCGCAGGCCAAUACCUUGCGCUAAUGACGGUACCUGCAGAAUAAGCACCGGCUAACUACGUGCCAGCAGCCGCCGUAAUAC
rnacentral:rRNA from 1 species